rnacentral:rRNA from 1 species
GGGUUGUGAGGUUAAGCGACUAAGCGUACACGGUGGAUGCCCUGGCAGUCAGAGGCGAUGAAGGGCGUGCUAAUCUGCGAUAAGCGCCGGUAAGGUGAUAUGAACCGUUAUAACCGGCGAUACCCGAAUGGGGAAACCCAGUGUGAUUCGUCACACUAUCAUUAACUGAAUCCAUAGGUUAAUGAGGCGAACCGGGGGAACUGAAACAUCUAAGUACCCCGAGGAAAAGAAAUCAACCGAGAUUCCCCCAGUAGCGGCGAGCGAACGGGGAGGAGCCCAGAGCCUGAAUCAGCAUGUGUGUUAGUGGAAGCGUCUGGAAAGGCGCGCGAUACAGGGUGACAGCCCCGUACACAAAAGCGCAUGUGCUGUGAGCUCGAUGAGUAGGGCGGGACACGUGGUAUCCUGUCUGAAUAUGGGGGGACCAUCCUCCAAGGCUAAAUACUCCUGACUGACCGAUAGUGAACCAGUACCGUGAGGGAAAGGCGAAAAGAACCCCGGCGAGGGGAGUGAAAAAGAACCUGAAACCGUGUACGUACAAGCAGUGGGAGCACCCUUUGGGUGUGACUGCGUACCUUUUGUAUAAUGGGUCAGCGACUUAUAUUCUGUAGCAAGGUUAACCGAAUAGGGGAGCCGGAGGGAAACCGAGUCUUAACCGGGCGUUAAGUUGCAGGGUAUAGACCCGAAACCCGGUGAUCUAGCCAUGGGCAGGUUGAAGGUUGGGUAACACUAACUGGAGGACCGAACCGACUAAUGUUGAAAAAUUAGCGGAUGACCUGUGGCUGGGGGUGAAAGGCCAAUCAAACCGGGAGAUAGCUGGUUCUCCCCGAAAGCUAUUUAGGUAGCGCCUCGUGAAUUCAUCUCCGGGGGUAGAGCACUGUUUCGGCUAGGGGGCCAUCCCGGCUUACCAACCCGAUGCAAACUGCGAAUACCGGAGAAUGUUAUCACGGGAGACACACGGCGGGUGCUAACGUCCGUCGUGAAGAGGGAAACAACCCAGACCGCCAGCUAAGGUCCCAAAGUCAUGGUUAAGUGGGAAACGAUGUGGGAAGGCCCAGACAGCCAGGAUGUUGGCUUAGAAGCAGCCAUCAUUUAAAGAAAGCGUAAUAGCUCACUGGUCGAGUCGGCCUGCGCGGAAGAUGUAACGGGGCUAAACCAUGCACCGAAGCUGCGGCAGCGACACUGUGUGUUGUUGGGUAGGGGAGCGUUCUGUAAGCCUGUGAAGGUGUGUCGUGAGGCAUGCUGGAGGUAUCAGAAGUGCGAAUGCUGACAUAAGUAACGAUAAAGCGGGUGAAAAGCCCGCUCGCCGGAAGACCAAGGGUUCCUGUCCAACGUUAAUCGGGGCAGGGUGAGUCGACCCCUAAGGCGAGGCCGAAAGGCGUAGUCGAUGGGAAACGGGUUAAUAUUCCCGUACUUGGUGUUACUGCGAAGGGGGGACGGAGAAGGCUAUGUUGGCCGGGCGACGGUUGUCCCGGUUUAAGCGUGUAGGU